AGAGUUUGAUCAUGGCUCAGGACGAACGCUGGCGGCGUGCCUAAUACAUGCAAGUCGAACGAAGCUUUCUUUCACCGAAUGCUUACAUUCACCGAAAGAAGCUUAGUGGCGAACGGGUGAGUAACACGUAGGCAACCUGCCCAAAAGAGGGGGAUAACACUUGGAAACAGGUGCUAAUACCGCAUAACCAUGAACACCGCAUGAUGUUCAUGUAAAAGACGGCUUUUGCUGUCGCUUUUGGAUGGGCCUGCGGCGUAUUAACUUGUUGGUGGGGUAACGGCCUACCAAGGUGAUGAUACGUAGCCGAACUGAGAGGUUGAUCGGCCACAUUGGGACUGAGACACGGCCCAAACUCCUACGGGAGGCAGCAGUAGGGAAUCUUCCACAAUGGACGAAAGUCUGAUGGAGCAACGCCGCGUGAAUGAAGAAGGCCUUCGGGUCGUAAAAUUCUGUUGUCAGAGAAGAACGUGCGUGAGAGUAACUGUUCACGUAUUGACGGUAUCUGACCAGAAAGCCACGGCUAACUACGUGCCAGCAGCCGCGGUAAUACGUAGGUGGCGAGCGUUGUCCGGAUUUAUUGGGCGUAAAGGGAACGCAGGCGGUCUUUUAAGUCUGAUGUGAAAGCCUUCGGCUUAACCGAAGUAGUGCAUUGGAAACUGGAAGACUUGAGUGCAGAAGAGGAGAGUGGAACUCCAUGUGUAGCGGUGAAAUGCGUAGAUAUAUGGAAGAACACCAGUGGCGAAAGCGGCUCUCUGGUCUGUAACUGACGCUGAGGUUCGAAAGCGUGGGUAGCAAACAGGAUUAGAUACCCUGGUAGUCCACGCCGUAAACGAUGAGUGCUAAGUGUUGGAGGGUUUCCGCCCUUCAGUGCUGCAGCUAACGCAUUAAGCACUCCGCCUGGGGAGUACGGUCGCAAGACUGAAACUCAAAGGAAUUGACGGGGGCCCGCACAAGCGGUGGAGCAUGUGGUUUAAUUCGAAGCAACGCGAAGAACCUUACCAGGUCUUGACAUCUUCUGACAGUUCCAGAGAUGGAACGUUCCCUUCGGGGACAGAAUGACAGGUGGUGCAUGGUUGUCGUCAGCUCGUGUCGUGAGAUGUUGGGUUAAGUCCCGCAACGAGCGCAACCCCUAUUGUCAGUUGCCAUCAUUAAGUUGGGCACUCUGGCGAGACUGCCGGUGACAAACCGGAGGAAGGUGGGGAUGACGUCAAAUCAUCAUGCCCCUUAUGACCUGGGCUACACACGUGCUACAAUGGACGGUACAACGAGUCGCUAACUAGCGAGGGCAAGCUAAUCUCUUAAAGCCGUUCUCAGUUCGGAUUGCAGGCUGCAACUCGCCUGCAUGAAGUCGGAAUCGCUAGUAAUCGCGAAUCAGCAUGUCGCGGUGAAUACGUUCCCGGGCCUUGUACACACCGCCCGUCACACCAUGAGAGUUUGUAACACCCAAAGUCGGUGGGGUAACCUUUUGGAGCCAGCCGCCUAAGGUGGGACAGAUGAUUGGGGUGAAGUCGUAACAAGGUA
rnacentral:rRNA from 1 species